rfam:Echinostoma caproni strain Egypt genome assembly, scaffold: ECPE_scaffold0000665
GGCUUCGUAGCUCAGCUGGUAGAGCAUGCGCGUACAAAGCGUAGGCGGUGUCCAUGCGUGGGUUCGAAUCCCAUCGAGGCUA